rnacentral:rRNA from 1 species
CCCGCACAAGCGGUGGAGCAUGUGGUUUAAUUCGACGCAACGCGAAGAACCUUACCAGGGCUUGACAUCCCCUGACCGCGUAUGAAAGUACGUUUUCACCCUCGGGUGACAGGGAGACAGGUGGUGCAUGGUUGUCGUCAGCUCGUGUCGUGAGAUGUUGGGUUAAGUCCCGCAACGAGCGCAACCCCUACGUUUAGUUGCUAACGCGUGAAGGCGAGCACUCUAGACGAACUGCCGUUGACAAAACGGAGGAAGGUGGGGAUGACGUCAAAUCAUCAUGCCCCUUAUGUUCUGGGCUACACACGUACUACAAUGGCCGGUACAGACGGACGCAAAGCCGCGAGGUGGAGCAAAUCCUAAAAAGCCGGUCUCAGUUCGGAUUGCAGGCUGCAAUUCGCCUACAUGAAGUCGGAAUCGCUAGUAAUCGCGGAUCAGCACGCCGCGGUGAAUACGUUCCCGGGCCUU